rnacentral:rRNA from 1 species
UUUUAUGGAGAGUUUGAUCCUGGCUCAGGAUGAACGCUGGCGGCGUGCCUAAUACAUGCAAGUCGAGCGAACAGACGAGGAGCUUGCUCCUCUGACGUUAGCGGCGGACGGGUGAGUAACACGUGGAUAACCUACCUAUAAGACUGGGAUAACUUCGGGAAACCGGAGCUAAUACCGGAUAAUAUAUUGAACCGCAUGGUUCAAUAG